UUGUAAAGAGAAAAAAAGACCAUAGGAGGAGCACGGGCUCGCCUCCUCUCCCUCUCGCCCAAGUCCUCGUCGCUGCCGCCGCCACCACCACCCACGCUGUGGCAAUCUCCGGCGAGCUCCGUCGCCGCACAACACACCCCAGAGCUCCCCACGGUCCGCGUCUCCCUCCCCUCCGGCCAGAUUCUGCGCUCCCGACCUCUACCGCCCGGUCGCAACGCCACCCUUGUGGCUGGGUUUGGGGCAGGGCUUCGCCGCCGCGUCUCCGGCGGCCCCGGGUUCGUCCCUCUUCCUACCUGGUCGGGAUCCACCACCCCUACACCUCACCUUCGACGCCAUGGGAGUUCCCCAUCCACCAUGGUUGUCGCCGUCAAGGGCUUCUUCACGAAGAUGUGAAGGACGCCAUGGAUCUGCAGCUCCUUUUCUCCUCCACCACGGACGCCGCCUCACCCUUCCAAGCCAACAGGCACCCUACAAACGGGUCGGCCCACAGCUCCUCCGCUCCUCUGCCAUCUUGAGAUGCACCUGGAUCUGGCGAUUUCAGGGCCUUCAUGGCUUUAGAAUCGGCCUCUCGUUCGGGAUCAGUUUGGAUCUAGGACAAGCCAACCAUGCUGCUGCGCCAAGCUCCUCUUGAUAUAGUUUACAUGAAUGCUAUCCGGGAGAAGGCAAAUAUCAGGAGCAAAUAAAAUCAAUCCCUGUACAAAUAAAAACACUCCCUGCAAUCUAUCAUUUUUUUGAGGAAUUAGCCACAUUAGAGUAGUUGAUACAUUGGAUGAGUAUUCAGAAGGUGCAGUCAAUUUGUCCUUUGGCAUCUAGCCCUCCUGUUGGUAUAAUAAUGCAAAUUGCCUUUUUUUAAAAAAAAUGGUCCUUCAUUUCUUUUAUUUGAGUUAUCUGUGUAUCUUUUAAGCUUUUGCUAGGCGAGGAAAGGUGGACCAAGUAGUCUAGCAGAACCAAUUGCAUUUUUGGGGUAUUGGCUUCAGAUUGGAGUGGGAAGAAGACAUGGAUCCAUCACGGAAGGAGUAGAUGAAGACCAUGGAAAGGAGGAGUUACUAGGAGCAGAAUACUGGGAGGAGGUGUUGUCGCCAGCCUCACGUUGAUGUGCGGUACUUGCGCCUCUCUGCUUCAUG